UGGGGAAUCAUGGUCAAUGGGCGAAAGCCUGAACCUGCGACGCCGCGUGAGUGAUGAAGGUCGUAAGAUCGUAAAACUCUUUUCAGGGAUCUUAAAGCACAACCGUCAACAACGGCUGUGUGUGACUCUCCCUGGAAGAAGCCCCAGCCAACUACGUGCCAGCAGCUGCGGUAAUACGUAGGGGGCGAGCGUUAUUCGGAAUUACUGGGUGUAAAGGGGAUGUAGGCGGCCCUUCAAGUCGCGUGUCAAAGUCCGGUGCGCAAGGCUGG
rnacentral:rRNA from 1 species